CCUGAACUGAAUGAAGGCAGUUGCUUAACUGACUGAGCCACCCAGCUGCCCCAAGAUAAGCAUUCUUUAAAAAGCAAGGACAAUAUCAACACAACACUGGAGACAAGGAACUGGAAUCAUCCAAAUUAUUGCAAGAUCAAAGAGGGCAGCACUGCUCCAAGACACCAGUACGUCCAAGCAAAGGAAGAUGUGGUAAGACACAGUAUGCAACUCUAUAUGCUUUCAUCUGCCCUGAAACGUGGAGAGCUAGUCCGUGGGGACUCCAACAGUUCUUUGAAAACAAGAUCUCUAGCUGAGUGAAAAUGGACUAUGGGGAGCAGGAUGAAGCAAGGACUUUUGAACACCAAGAACUAACUUUAUGUAAUAAGAUUAGAGACUUUUAAGUAUAAAGGUCAACAGGUCACAUUCCAGUUACUUCAAUGAGAACCAACCAUAAUAAAAUAAAGUCUACUUUUUUUGAU